rnacentral:rRNA from 1 species
GUGUCAGCCGCCGCGGUAAUACGUAGGUGGCAAGCGUUGUCCGGAAUUAUUGGGCGUAAAGCGCGCGCAGGCGGUCCUUUAAGUCUGAUGUGAAAGCCCACGGCUCAACCGUGGAGGGUCAUUGGAAACUGGGGGACUUGAGUGCAGAAGAGGAAAGUGGAAUUCCACGUGUAGCGGUGAAAUGCGUAGAGAUGUGGAGGAACACCAGUGGCGAAGGCGACUUUCUGGUCUGUAACUGACGCUGAGGCGCGAAAGCGUGGGGAGCAAACAGGAUUAGAAACCCGAGUAGUCC